rnacentral:rRNA from 1 species
CCUGUUUAUCAAAAACAUGCCCUUUUGAUUUAUGUGUAAUAUAAAAGGUUGGACCUGCCCAGUGGUUUAUCUAAAUGGCUGCAGUGAAUAACUGUACAAAGGUAGCGAAAUCAGUUGUCCUUUAAAUGGGGGAAGGUAUGAAAGGUUUGACGGUAAAGAAGCUGUCUCUUAAAAAUAGUGUGAAGUUUCCGUCUAAGUGAAAAGGCUUAGAUUUUUUAAAAAGACGAGAAGACCCUAUUGAGCUUAAUUAUAUUUUUUUUAUUAAGAAAGUUGAAGUUUUAUUGGGGCAAUAGGAAGCUAUAAGUAAUGCUUCUUUUUAAGGUAAGGAUCCUCCAUGGGAGAAGUAAGCAAAAGUUACCAUAGGGAUAACAGCGUUAUCUUUCUUAAGAGUUCUAAUUGAGGGAAAGGUUUGCGACCUCGAUGUUGGAUUAAGAUGUCUUUUUGGUGCAGCAGCUAAAAAAGUAAGACUGUUCGUCUUUUAAAAUUUUACGUGAUCUGAGUUCAGACCG